GGGCGUGUAGCUCAGCUGGGAGAGCGCCUCGUUCGCAACGAGGAGGUCGCAGGUUCAAUCCCUGUCACGUCCA
rnacentral:tRNA from 1 species